UACAGAGGGUGCGAGCGUUAAUCGGAAUUACUGGGCGUAAAGCGUGCGUAGACGGCUAUCUAAGUCGGGUGUGAAAUCCCCAGGCUUAACCUGGGAACUGCAUUCGAGACUGCAUUGCUAGAGUAUGGGAGAGGGAAGUGGAAUUUCCGGUGUAGCGGUGAAAUGCGCAGAUAUCGGGAGGAACACCAGCGGCGAAGGCGGCACUCUGGGCUGGAACUGACGCUGAGGAGCGAAAGCGUGGGUAGCAAACAGG
rnacentral:rRNA from 1 species